AAUCCAAUUACUCUACGAUAUUCUAUAUUCUUCGACUAAGGUUCGACUCGAGCGAAGCGAGAGAACGUUGCCGCAGGCAACGGCCCGAAGGGCGAGGCGCUUUAGCGCCGAGUAAUCCUUCCCCCACCA
rnacentral:sRNA from 1 species